rnacentral:rRNA from 1 species
UACAGAGGGUGCAAGCGUUAAUCGGAAUUACUGGGCGUAAAGCGUGCGCAGGCGGCGCGUUAAGACAGGUGUGAAAGCCCCGAGCUUAACUUGGGAAUUGCGCUUGUGACUGGCGUGCUGGAGUGUGGCAGAGGGAGGUGGAAUUCCACGUGUAGCAGUGAAAUGCGUAGAGAUGUGGAGGAACACCGAUGGCGAAGGCAGCCUCCUGGGCCAGCACUGACGCUCAUGCACGAAAGCGUGGGGAGCGAACAGG